AAGACUUUCAAUCCAAAUCAGUAAUUAAAUUAAAAUCUUCUUCUUCAUCUGCAUUUUGUAAUAAGGUAAUAAAAGCAAAUGCCUCCAUUAAAGAGAUAUGGGAAAAUCAAAAUAAGAAAAAGAAAAAGAGAAAAAUACUCCAGGAAAAAUAUUAGUAGUGCUCAGAUUAACGCAAUCUAUACAAAUUGGAGUCAAAUGUGGAGUCAAAACUUGUGCUGCUCAUUCAUAAGCUCAAAUUCAGAUAGCCUUUCUGUGAGAUUUUCUUUACAUAACUAAGUUUUUUUCUUCUAAUUUCUCCAAUAUUUUAAUAAAUACGUUAAGCCCUAAUGUUAUA